AUUUCCAAAAAAUCAACUUCAGUUUUAGGAUUAGAAAUUGUAGCAAUUGACAUGCCAAGAGGUAAUUAGCUCUAAGGUUUGAUGAAUUGGCAAACUUUGUUUCUCCAAAAUAAUGAGGAUUUUAAUUGUAUCUCAUAUACAGUCUUUGUUUUUGUGUCUACUAAAUUUUUGAUAACUUUUUUAUCAGGUUAAAUAGCCCAGGUAAAUAAAUAGAUUGGUGAUUUAUAUAUGCAUCUGUACCUCAAGCUCAGAAGGCAUCACUAUCACGAUUCCUGGAAAAGCGCAAGGAGAGGAUGACCAAUACCAUUCCCUAUGCUUGUUCCAAGAAAAUUCCUGAAAACAGUAGUAGAUUCUGAAGUUGCAAUGUGUCAAGCAAAAUUUCAUUGGCUGAUAUCAAUCUUUCGAGGAGAGGACUUAUGGUUUGUGGCACACCAAAAGAGCAGCAUGGACAGUGGGGAGUCCCUAAGUAUUAAGCUAGCAUAAUUGAGUUUGCAUUUGAAUCAGGCCUGUAAUGUAUGAUUAAAUUAUUUGUUCAUUUCAGUGAUAAAAUAUCAGAUAAGAGAUAUCAUAAUGUACUCCGUAGUAGAGAGUCUUAUAGGGAUCUCUGAUUACUUGUCCCAAUAUGAUUCAAGUGCUAUAUCAUAGAGAAAAAGAUGGUUAUAUCAGGAAUUA